rnacentral:rRNA from 1 species
AUUGAACGCUGGCGGCAGGCCUAACACAUGCGAGUCGAGCGGAUGAAGGGAGCUUGCUCCUGGAUUCAGCGGCGGACGGGUGAGUAAUGCCUAGGAAUCUGCCUGGUAGUGGGGGAUAACGUCCGGAAACGGGCGCUAAUACCGCAUACGUCCUGAGGGAGAAAGUGGGGGAUCUUCGGACCUCACGCUAUCAGAUGAGCCUAGGUCGGAUUAGCUAGUUGGUGGGGUAAAGGCCUACCAAGGCGACGAUCCGUAACUGGUCUGAGAGGAUGAUCAGUCACACUGGAACUGAGACACGGUCCAGACUCCUACGGGAGGCAGCAGUGGGGAAUAUUGGACAAUGGGCGAAAGCCUGAUCCAGCCAUGCCGCGUGUGUGAAGAAGGUCUUCGGACUGUAAAGCACUUUAAGUUGGGAGGAAGGGCAGUAAGUUAAUACCUUGCUGUUUUGACGUUACCAACAGAAUAAGCACCGGCUAACUUCGUG